GACGAACGCUGGCGGCGUGCUUAACACAUGCAAGUCGAACGGGUCUGCCCUGUUUUUUGCGGGGUGGGUCAGUGGCGAACGGGUGAGUAACACGUGAGUAACCUGCCUCUCACUUCUGGAUAACCGCUUGAAAGGGUGGCUAAUACGGGGUGUUCUGGCUGUGCCGCAUGGUGUGGCUGGGAAAGAUUCCCUUUUGUGGUGUUUUGGCGGGGGAUGGGCUCGCGGCUUAUCAGCUUGUUGGGGGGGUGAUGGCCUGCCGAGGCUUUGACGGGUAGCCGGCCUGGGAGGGUGGGCGGUCACAGAGGGGCUGCGCUGCGGCGCGGACUCCGGCAGGGGGCAGCAGUGGGGGGUAUUGCACAGUGGGCAGAAUGCUGAUGCAGCGACGUGGCGUGGGGGAUGGCGGCCUGCGGGUUGUGAACCUCUUUCGCCGGUGAAGAAGGUCCUGCUCUUUGUGGUGGGGUUGGCGGUAACCGGGUUAUGAAGCGCCGGCUAACUACGUG
rnacentral:rRNA from 1 species